rnacentral:rRNA from 1 species
CCCUUAGAUGUCCUGGGCCGCACGCGCGUUACACUGAUGCAUUCAACGAGCUUAUAACCUUGGCCGAGAGGCCUGGGCAAUCUUGUUAACGUGCAUCGUGAUAGGGAUAGAUUAUUGAAAUUAUUAAUCUUGAACGAGGAAUUCCUAGUAAACGCAGAUCAUCAAUCUGCAUUGAUUACGUCCCUGCCCUUUGUACACACCGCCCGUCGCUACUACCGAUUGAAUGGCUUAGUGAGCCUUUGGGAUUGGCAGCUUGUACCGGCAACGGUAGCAGGCAGCCGAAAACUUAGGCAAACUUGGUCAUUUAGAGGAAGUAAAAGUCGUAACA